rnacentral:tRNA from 1 species
CGGCUGGUGGAUGAGGUCGAGGUUGGCAACCUGUCGCGUCGCUGCCCGAGACGCCCUUUGGUGGCGUCAAGGCCAGCGGC